rnacentral:rRNA from 1 species
UAGCAAUACCCGCCGGCGACCGGCAAACGGGUGCGGAACACGUACGCAACCUUCCUUUAACUGGAGAAUAGCCCCUCGAAAGAGGGAUUAAUACUCCGUAACAUAUUGAUAAGGCAUCUUAUUAAUAUUAUAGCUCCGGCGGUUAAAGAUGGGCGUGCGCCUGAUUAGAUAGUUGGCGGGGUAACGGCCCACCAAGUCUGCGAUCAGUAACUGGUGUGAGAGCACGACCAGUCACACGGGCACUGAGACACGGGCCCGACUCCUACGGGAGGCAGCAGUAAGGAAUAUUGGUCAAUGGACGCAAGUCUGAACCAGCCAUGCCGCGUGGAGGAUUAAGGCCCUCUGGGUUGUAAACUCCUUUUAUCUGGGAAGAAAUGCAUUUUUUCUAAAGUGCUUGACGGUACCAGAGGAAUAAGCACCGGCUAACUCCGUGCCAGCAGCCGCGGUAAUACGGAGGGUGCAAGCGUUAUCCGGAUUCACUGGGUUUAAAGGGUGCGUAGGCGGGCAGGUAAGUCCGUGGUGAAAUCUCUGAGCUUAACUCAGAAACUGCCAUGGAUACUAUCUGUCUUGAAUAUUGUGGAGGUAAGCGGAAUAUGUCAUGUAGCGGUGAAAUGCUUAGAUAUGACAUAGAACACCAAUUGCGAAGGCAGCUUGCUACACAGUUAUUGACGCUGAGGCACGAAAGCGUGGGGAUCAAACAGGAUUAGAUACCCUGGUAGUCCACGCCCUAAACGAUGAUUACUCGACAUCAGCGAUACACUGUUGGUGUCUGAGCGAAAGCAUUAAGUAAUCCACCUGGGAAGUACGA